rnacentral:rRNA from 1 species
UACGUAGGGGGCAAGCGUUGUCCGGAAUUAUUGGGCGUAAAGCGCGCGCAGGCGGCCUUGUAAGUCUGUUGUUUAAACUCGGGGCUCAACCCCGAGUCGCAAUGGAAACUGCAAAGCUUGAGUGCAGAAGAGGAAAGUGGAAUUCCACGUGUAGCGGUGAAAUGCGUAGAGAUGUGGAGGAACACCAGUGGCGAAGGCGACUUUCUGGGCUGUAACUGACGCUGAGGCGCGAAAGCGUGGGGAGCAAACAGGAUUAGAAACCCCCGUAGUCC